UUGCGGACGGGUGAGUAACGCGUGGGAAUAUGCCCUUCUCUACGGAAUAGCCCUGGGAAACUGGGAGUAAUACCGUAUACGCCCUACGGGGGAAAGAUUUAUCGGAGAAGGAUUAGCCCGCGUUGGAUUAGGUAGUUGGUGGGGUAAUGGCCUACCAAGCCUACGAUCCAUAGCUGGUUUGAGAGGAUGAUCAGCCACACUGGGACUGAGACACGGCCCAGACUCCUACGGGAGGCAGCAGUGGGGAAUCUUAGACAAUGGGGGCAACCCUGAUCUAGCCAUGCCGCGUGAGUGAUGAAGGCCUUAGGGUUGUAAAGCUCUUUCAGCUGGGAAGAUAAUGACGGUACCAGCAGAAGAAGCCCCGGCUAACUCCGUGCCAGCAGCCGCGGUAAUACGGAGGGGGCUAGCGUUGUUCGGAAUUACUGGGCGUAAAGCGCACGUAGGCGGACUGAAAAGUUGGAGGUGAAAUCCCAGGGCUCAACCUUGGAACUGCCUUCAAAACUAUCAGUCUGGAGUUCGAGAGAGGUGAGUGGAAUUCCGAGUGUAGAGGUGAAAUUCGUAGAUAUUCGGAGGAACACCAGUGGCGAAGGCGGCUCACU
rnacentral:rRNA from 1 species